rnacentral:rRNA from 1 species
AUGGACCUCAACUGGGAAUUCAUCCCUGCUCCGAUUUCUGACCUCGCAGACUUGGUGAUGCCUUUCUCGUUGGAGGAGGUCAAGGCGGCAAUCUUUGCCCUCCCUAGUGAUAAAGCCCCAGGCCCUGACGGAUUCACCGGAGCCUUCUUCAAAGAGUGUUGGGAAAUAGUCCAACCUGAAAUCAUGGAGGUCAUCAACAACUUCUCUAACCUUCAUGUCUCCAACUUGCAUUGGCUGAACUCAGCAAACAUAGCUCUCAUUCCGAAGAAAGAUGGUGCAGAGGACAUCUCAGAUUUUCGACCAAUUAGUCUCAUCCAUGGUAUUACCAAGAUCAUUGCAAAAAUGAUGGCCACAUGGCUCACUCCUCAUAUGCACAAACUAGUCUCCAAUGCACAGAGUGCUUUCAUCAAGAAAAGAAGUAUCCAUGACAAUUUUAUGUAUGUGCGCAACUUGGCUAGGCGCUUCCAACGCACAAAUACACUAACUUUCCUUUUCAAGCUUGACAUAAAGAAGGCUUUUGAUUCG